AAGGAGUUGAUGCAGGACCCUGGGACCAUGACCCGAGCCAAAGGCAGACACUUAGCUGACUGAGCCACCCAGAAAGCAUCCCUCCCCCUGCCUACUUGAGAACUACCAAGUAGCCAGAUCAGGGAACACACUCUCAAAUGCACUAUAAAAUACCAUGAAGUACAGCUCUGCUCGAAGCUGGGGUACCCCAUCAGAGGAUUUAAAGGUAGAGAACCACCCUUAUAUUUAGCAACAGCAGGUACUUCUUCAGUUCUACUCCUCGGUCUGCAAAGCACCGGAAGC